GCCGCGUGCAGGAAGACGGCCCUAUGGGUUGUAAACUGCUUUUAUACAGGAAGAAAAAGGGGUACGUGUACCCCACUGACGGUACUGUAAGAAUAAGGACCGGCUAACUCCGUGCCAGCAGCCGCGGUAAUACGGAGGGUCCGAGCGUUAUCCGGAAUUAUUGGGUUUAAAGGGUCCGUAGGCGGGUCAUUAAGUCAGAGGUGAAAGUUUGCAGCUCAACUGUAAAAUUGCCUUUGAUACUGGUGGUCUUGAGUUAUGGUGAAGUGGCUGGAAUAUGUAGUGUAGCGGUGAAAUGCAUAGAUAUUACAUAGAACACCGAUUGCGAAGGCAGGUCACUAACCAUAUACUGACGCUGAUGGACGAAAGCGUGGGGAGCGAACAGGAUUAGAUACCCUGGUAGUCCACGCCGUAAACGAUGGAUACUAGCUGUCCGGGACUUUAAGUUCUGGGCGGCCAAGCGAAAGUGAUAAGUAUCCCACCUGGGGAGUACGUUCGCAAGAAUGAAACUCAAAUGAAAUUGACGGA
rnacentral:rRNA from 1 species